AGUGGCGCACGGGUGAGGAACGCGUGGAUAAUCUGCCUUAGAGUGGGGGAUAACUAGUCGAAAGAUUAGCUAAUACCGCAUAAGACCACAGGAGCUGCGGCUCUAGGGGUCAAAGGUUUUUCGCUCUAAGAUGAGUCCGCGUAAGAUUAGCUAGUUGGUGAGGUAACGGCUCACCAAGGCGACGAUCUUUAACUGGUCUGAGAGGAUGAUCAGUCACACUGGAACUGAGACACGGUCCAGACUCCUACGGGAGGCAGCAGUAGGGAAUAUUGCACAAUGGAGGAAACUCUGAUGCAGCGACGCCGCGUGAGUGAUGAAGGCCUUCGGGUCGUAAAGCUCUGUCGCAGGGGAAUAACACAAUGAAUGUACCCUGUAAGAAAGGAUCGGCUAACUUCGUGCCAGCAGCCGCGGUAAGACGAGGGAUCCUAGCGUUGUUCGGAAUUAUUGGGCGUAAAGCGGAUGUAGGUGGCUUUGUAAGUCAGAUGUGAAAGCCCAGGGCUCAACCCUGGAAGUGCAUUUGAUACUGCGAAGCUUGAGUGUCGGAGAGGUUACUAGAAUUGUUGGUGUAGUGGUGAAAUACGUAGAUAUCAACAGGAAUACCGGAGGCGAAGGCGGGUAACUGGCCGAACACUGACACUGAGAUCCGAAAGCGUGGGGAUCAAACAGGAUUAGAUACCCUGGUAGUCCACGCCGUAAACGAUGGAUACUUGUUGUUGGAGGUAUUGACCCCUUCAGUGACGAAGCUAACGCGUUAAGUAUCCCGCCUGGGGAGUACGGUCGCAAGAUUAAAACUCAAAGAAAUUGACGGGGGCCCGCACAAGCGGUGGAGCAUGUGGUUUAAUUCGAUGCAACGCGAAGAACCUUACCUAGGCUUGACAUGUACUGGAAGACUGGCAGAAAUGUCGUCGCCCGCAAGGGUCGGUACACAGGUGCUGCAUGGCUGUCGUCAGCUCGUGUCGUGAGAUGUUGGGUUAAGUCCCGCAACGAGCGCAACCCCUGCAUUUAGUUGCCAGCAUUCAGUUGGGCACUCUAGAUGGACUGCCGGUGUUAAACCGGAGGAAGGUGGGGAUGACGUC
rnacentral:rRNA from 1 species